rnacentral:rRNA from 1 species
UUACGGCCACAUCACGUUGAAACACCGGUACCCGUACGAUCACUGAAGUUAAACAACGUCGAACCUGGUCAGUACUUAGAUGGGUGACCUCUUGAGAAUAUCACGUGCUGUAAG